GUAUAAUUAGGAAGUUCCAGGUGAGAGGUGAGUCGGCAGGAAAUAGAGAGAAGACAUUGUCGACAUUGGCAGCAGAGGAGGAGGGAAAACGGCAUAGAUCACAUGACCAGUGAGGAUGGAGGAGGACCGGACUCGCAUUACUGAGAAGAUAUUAAACCUCGCCCUGGAGAUCAUCUACCUGCUGACCGGAGAGAGAUUUCCUCUUGUGAAGUCAGGUGAUCAUAUGACCAUC